rnacentral:rRNA from 1 species
GACGAACGCUGGCGGCGUGCUUAACACAUGCAAGUCGAACGGAAAGGCCCUGCUUGCAGGGUACUCGAGUGGCGAACGGGUGAGUAACACGUGGGUGAUCUGCCCUGCACUUCGGGAUAAGCCUGGGAAACUGGGUCUAAUACCGGAUAGGAGCCAUUUUUAGUGUGAUGGUUGGAAAGUUUUUUCGGUGUAGGAUGAGCUCGCGGCCUAUCAGCUUGUUGGUGGGGUAAUGGCCUACCAAGGCGGCGACGGGUAGCCGGCCUGAGAGGGUGGACGGCCACAUUGGGACUGAGAGACGGCCCAGACACCUACGGGAGGGAGAAGUGGGGAAGAUUGAACAAUGGGCGCAAGCCUGAUGAAGAGACGCCGCGGGGGGGAUGACGGCCUUCGGGUUGUAAAAUACUUUCGCUAGGGACGAAGCUUUUUGUGAUGGUACCUAGAUAAGAAGCACCGGCUAACUACGUG